rnacentral:rRNA from 1 species
GACGCCGAGCGGAACCCGAAAGCCCCUCUCAGUUCGGAUCGGAGUCUGCAACCCGACUCCGUGAAGCUGGAUUCGCUAGUAAUCGCGCAUCAGCCAUGGCGCGGUGAAUACGUUCCCGGGCCUUGUACACACCGCCCGUCAAGCCAUGGGAGCCGAGAGCGCUUGAAGUGCGUCGCCGCGAGGCGCGCCCUAGAGCGAGGCCGGUGACUGGGGCUAAGUCGUAACAAGGUAGC